CUUAGAGCCAGCUGAGUAUGGACUGAAACCUCUACGAACUAUAUUUUUGAUGGACAGUUGAUUAAAUCUGAAGAUGUGGAACCUAUGGAUACAGAGGAUGGACAGUAACAGCAAGUGCUGAGCCUCACAUCUGAUGACUGAUGACGCUGAGAGAGCCAUGUGAAGACAGACGCAGACACUGGAGUGACACGGCUGCAAGUUUAAGAAUGCCAAGGACUGCAACAGCCACCAGGCGCAUGGACAAAGGCAGGGAUAGACUCCCACAUGCUGCAGCUUUCCGAGGGAGUGUGGCACUGCUAACAGCAGGAUUUCAGAUCUGUGGCUUCCAGAACUAUGGGGGAAUACAUUUCUGCUGUUGUAAACCACCCUGUGUGUGACUAUUUGUGACAGUGAUCCUAGGAAACUGAUAUUACCCCAGAAACAUUAUUCUAAGAGAGAGAAGCAGGAUGAACAGGACCACAUAUUAUGCGAUUCCAUAUAUAGAAAAAUGCUGAGAAAAGGCAAAUCCAUAGAGACAGAAAAGAAAUUAGUGGCUGCCUAGGGCUGAGAGAUGGUAAGUUUGGGGAGAAAUAAGUAAUCGUGUAGAAUUUGUUUUUUUUUUUGAGAGGGUGAACAAAAAUGUUUUUAAACUGACUGUGGUACUGAAAGCACAACUCUAUGAACAUACACUAAAGGCCAAUGAAUUACAAUAACAAUGAAACUAUGGCCGUUAAAGUGAGGAAGAAUUCAUUUUAAACAGAUGGAGCAUGUCAACAGGACUCAGGACUCAAGAUGAUCACAGCUCAAAUGAGUAAAACUGGAACAAUCAGAACAAUGAAAUCAAUACACGACUCCAUUAAGUUAUAGUCCCCAGAAUCCACUUUAAAAAAUGUUUUUAAUAAAUAAUUCUAUACAUUUUCCCUUAUAACCUAUGCAAGCAUAGCUCCUAUAUCCCGAAAGUCCUGCCAAUAUCUGGCAUCAUCUGGCUAAUUUUGGCCAACUUAAUAAAGUUGUGUACAAGGGCUGAUUAAAAACUACCCUGUGUGUUUAAAUAAAAAAAUUACAGAAAAA